rnacentral:rRNA from 1 species
UACAGAGGGUGCGAGCGUUGUUCGGAAUUAUUGGGCGUAAAGAGCUCGUAGGCGGUUCGGCAAGUCGGAUGUGAAAUCUCCACGCUUAACGUGGAGGGGCCAUUCGAAACUGCUGUGACUCGAGUCCGGUAGGGGAGUGUGGAAUUCCCGGUGUAGCGGUGGAAUGCGCAGAUAUCAGGAAGAACACCCGUGGCGAAGGCGGCUCUCUGGAACGCAACUGACGCUGAGACGCGAAAGCGUGGGGAGCAAACAGG